UACAGAGGUGGCAAGCGUUGUUCGGAAUUACUGGGCGUAAAGGGCUCGUAGGCGGCCAACUAAGUCAGACGUGAAAUCCCCAGGCUCAACCUGGGAACUGCGUCUGAUACUGGAUGGCUUGAAUUCGGGAGAGGGAUGCAGAAUUCCAGGUGUAGCGGUGAAAUGCGUAGAUAUCUGGAGGAAUACCAGUGGCGAAGGCGGCAUCCUGGACCGACAUUGACGCUGAUGAGCGAAAGCUAGGGGAGCAAACGGG
rnacentral:rRNA from 1 species